rnacentral:piRNA from 1 species
GAUUGGAAUUUGGGGAGAACUGA